UACGUAGGGGGCGAGCGUUGUCCGGAAUUACUGGGCGUAAAGGGCGCGUAGGCGGCCUGUUAAGUCCCUUGUGAAAGACCGAGGCUCAACCUCGGGACGUCAGGGGAGACUGGGAGGCUAGGGUGUCGGAGAGGAGCGGGGAAUCCCUGGUGUAGCGGUGGAAUGCGUAGAGGUCAGGGGGAACACCGGUGGCGAAGGCGCCGCUCUGGCCGAAAACCGACGCUGAGGCGCGAAAGCUGGGGGAGCGAACGGG
rnacentral:rRNA from 1 species